GGUCGCGUGGCCCAAUGGGUAAGCAUCCUUCUCAAAUACUGGACUGUCUCUAAGUAACUAACACUCGAUUCAGCAAGGCGUCUGACUACGAAUCAGGAGAUCGUGGGUUCGAGCCCCACCGUGACCU